rnacentral:tRNA from 1 species
GGAGAGGUGGCUGAGUGGCCUAAAGCAUCCUCCUGCUAAGAGGAAGCGGGUGUAUACCCGUCACAGGUUCAAAUCCUGUUCUCUCCG